rnacentral:rRNA from 1 species
CCUACGGGGGGCAGCAGUGGGGAAUAUUGGGCAAUGGGCGCAAGCCUGACCCAGCAACGCCGCGUGAAGGAAGAAGGCCCUCGGGUUGUAAACUUCUUUUAUUCGGGACGAAACAAAUGACGGUACCGAAUGAAUAAGCCACGGCUAACUACGUGCCAGCAGCCGCGGUAAUACGUAGGUGGCAAGCGUUAUCCGGAUUUACUGGGUGUAAAGGGCGUGUAGGCGGGAGAGCAAGUCUCAUGUGAAAUACCCGGGCUUAACUUGGGGGUUGCAUGGGAAACUGUAGAGCUUGAGUACAGGAGAGGCAAGCGGAAUUCCUAGUGUAGCGGUGAAAUGCAUAGAUAUUAGGAGGAACACCAGUGGCGAAGGCGGCUUGCUGGACUGAAACUGACGCUGAGGCUCGAAAGCGUGGGGAGCAAACAGGAUUAGAUACCCCUGUAGUC